rnacentral:rRNA from 1 species
AGUUGAUCAUGGCUCAGGACUACGCUGGCGGCGUGCCUAACACAUGCAAGUCGGACGAUUCAUCUUUGUAGCAAUAUGGAAGAUGGGGAGUGGCGCACGGGUGAGUAAUACAUAGAUGAUCUGCCUUUCAGACUGGGACAACUCAGGGAAACUUGAGCUAAUACCAGAUAAGACCACAUGAAGGGAUUCACGUGAUCAAACGGGGGAGCAAUUUCCUGCUGGAAGAUGAGUCUAUGUCCUAUCAGUUAGUUGGUGGGGUAACGGCCUACCAAGACGAAGACGGGUAGCCGGCCUGAGAGGGUGAACGGCCACACUGGGACUGAGACACGGCCCAGACUCCUACGGGAGGCAGCAGUGGGGAAUAUUGGACAAUGGGCGAAAGCCUGAUCCAAGCGACGCCGCGUGAAGGAAGAAGGUCUUCGGAUUGUAAACUUUAGUGAGCAGGGACGAUAAUGACGGUACCUGCAUAGCAAGCCACGGCUAACUACGUGCCAGCCGCCGC